rnacentral:rRNA from 1 species
AGAGCGAACGCUGGCGGCAGGCCUAAUACAUGCAAGUCGAACGCACCUUCGGGUGAGUGGCGGACGGGUGAGUAACACGUGGGAACGUGCCCUUUGGUUCGGAAUAAUCCGGGGAAACCUGGCCUAAUACCGGAUGUGCCCUUCGGGGGAAAGAUUUAUCGCCAUUGGAGCGGCCCGCGUCUGAUUAGCUUGUUGGUGGGGUAAUGGCCCACCAAGGCUACGAUCAGUAGCUGGUCUGAGAGGAUGAUCAGCCACACUGGGACUGAGACACGGCCCAGACUCCUACGGGAGGCAGCAGUAGGGAAUCUUGCGCAAUGGCGAAAGCCUGACGCAGCCAUGCCGCGUGAAUGAUGAAGGUCUUAGGAUUGUAAAAUUCUUUCAGCGGGAAGAUAAUGACUGUACCCGCAGAGGAGCUCCGGCUAACUUCGUGCCAGCAGCCGC